rnacentral:rRNA from 1 species
UACGUAGGGGGCGAGCGUUGUCCGGAUUUAUUGGGCGUAAAGAGCGUGUAGGCGGCCAGGUAGGUCUGCUGUGAAAACUCGAGGCUCAACCUCGAGACGUCGGCGGAAACCAUCUGGCUAGAGUCCGGAAGAGGAGAGUGGAAUUCCUGGUGUAGCGGUGAAAUGCGCAGAUAUCAGGAAGAACACCCGUGGCGAAGGCGGCUCUCUGGGACGGUACUGACGCUGAGGCGCGAAGGCUAGGGGAGCAAACGGG